GUGCUGCUUUGCCAGCACAUAUACUAAAAAUUGGAACGAUACAGAGAAGAUUCUGAUGGCCCCUGAGUAAGGAUGACAAGCAUAUUCUCAAAGGAUUCCAUACUUGG